rfam:Paenibacillus sp. JDR-2, complete genome.
AACAUUCGAAUACGCAUACCGUAGACAGUAGGUGCCGCAAGGCUUAAUUUCCUACCGAGGUGUUAUGAUAAAUACAGCUUGCGCGUGAUUAACUUCACGGCAGCGAUAUAUCAUGGCCUUCGCAGUCGCUGUGGAGGCCUUUCUCAUGCACCCU